rnacentral:rRNA from 1 species
GACGAACGCUGGCGGCGUGCUUAACACAUGCAAGUCGAACGGAAAGGCCCUGCUUUUGUGGGGUGCUCGAGUGGCGAACGGGUGAGUAACACGUGAGUAACCUGCCCUUGACUUUGGGAUAACUUCAGGAAACUGGGGCUAAUACCGGAUAGGAGCUCCUGCUGCAUGGUGGGGGUUGGAAAGUUUCGGCGGUUGGGGAUGGACUCGCGGCUUAUCAGCUUGUUGGUGGGGUAGUGGCUUACCAAGGCUUUGACGGGUAGCCGGCCUGAGAGGGUGACCGGCCACAUUGGGACUGAGAUACGGCCCAGACUCCUACGGGAGGCAGCAGUGGGGAAUAUUGCACAGUGGGCGGAAGCCUGAUGCAGCAACGUCGCGUGCGGGAUGACGGCCUUCGGGUUGUAAACCGCUUUCGCCUGUGACGAAGCGUGAGUGACGGUAAUGGGUAAAGAAGCACCGGCUAACUACGUG